CAGCAGCCGCGGUAAUACGUAGGGUGCGAGCGUUAAUCGGAACUACUGGGCGUAAAGCGUGCGCAGGCGGUUCGUUAAGACAGAUGUGAAAUCCCCGGGCUUAACCUGGGAACUGCAUUUGUGACUGGCGAGCUAGAGUAUGGCAGAGGGGGGUAGAAUUCCACGUGUAGCAGUGAAAUGCGUAGAGAUGUGGAGGAAUACCGAUGGCGAAGGCAGCCCCCUGGGCCAAUACUGACGCUCAUGCACGAAAGCGUGGGGAGCAAACAGGAUUAGAUACCCCCGUAGUCCCUGUCUCUUAUAA
rnacentral:rRNA from 1 species